GUAAUCAUCACGCGAUGGGGACCGUUGACUGUUUACACAGUCACGUCAUGGGGACCGGUUGCGCUUUGGGGACCAAAAUCCCGGUCCCCAUGAGGAUAACCCUUUUAAAUGACUACUAGAGCUACUCUGAAGGUGCCCGUGAAGUUUUAAGCAUUGGCCCAUACGACAUGUUUUUUGGUGAGUGUGAGUGUGUGAGCAUUGCUCAUUGGUGGCCCUACUGUUUCUAGUUAGUACUGCACCCACUGCUUCACACACACACAUCUUCCAAAUAUGGUUGGGUGCCACCCACUUCCUUGUCCCCAUUAGGAAUGAUUCAAGCAGCGAGGACAUUUUCAGCAUCAAGAGGUAGCUAUCAACAGUAAAAGAAGAUUAUUUGCUGGAGAAACUAGCUAAGAAGAUAAGAACAUGUGCAGAGGAGCAAAAGUAAAGCAUAAGAAAUGCCACCACGGAUCAACAAUUCAACAUGAUACACAUCUGCAAAUUAGAGGUCCAGUAUAUUUAUGCAGCAAAAGUAUUGAUGCCUUCAGAGAAGAUGGCUCAAUUGGGUGACAAGUUAAUGAUGAACACAGACGUCCUUACUCCAAAAUGAAAAAAAUUGGUGUUAAUGGAGAACCCCACCUUUGUUUAUUUGCCCUGGAUGACAUCAAAGAAGGAGAAGAAAUCGCCUAUAACUAUAGAGGUGAAGACUGCCCAUGGCAAACACAGACGACCAGCAUCACUGUUAACACCAUGGAGGAGGAUGAUUCAGAUCCUGUCCACUCAGAGAGUCUGAUGGCUUGUGCCUUUGGGCCAAAGACACCACCUGAAGAGGUACAACUGCCCAAAAGAAGAAAACACCCUGGAAGGAGACAGACGUGAAGGCAGUGGAAAGGCACAUGAAUCGAUUCAUCACAUCUUGUAUUGCUCCAGCAAAGUUUGACUGUGAGAAGUGUUUAAGGGCUGAUCCAGAAGCUCUUAAGGACCGGAGCUGGCAGAAUGUGAAAUUCUACAUAUAUAACCGCAUUACAGCCAACAAGAGGAAAUUAAGUAAAUAAUGGGAAGAUUACCACCAGUAAGCGGUUGCUAUGUGGUUGUCUGAAAUUAAAAAUAUCUUACAAAUUUGA